CACUCAGACGUCAAGCUGAAUCGACCCGCGGUGGUCGCGCGUAAUAAAAAUAUUAGGAGAUCGUAGGUAUUGAACAAACAAAAAAUGUAAAUCGAAUAAACAACAUGAUUUUGGACGUUUCUUCAAAGUAACCCGUGAUGUUUUUGGUCACAUAACCAUUUAGAUUUAAUUCGCCGCGGUGAAUCUUAAAAUGGGCGACGUUCUGAGUUUAUUUUCUGUGAUAAUAAUGAAAUUUAAAGCUAAGUUCAAUGAAAGUAAGAUUUAUUUUCAUUGGGAUAUUCCAUGGGAGAAAAUGAAGAAAGUAAAAUGGAUGAACGAACGAGCAUCGCCGGAUAGAGCCUACGUUCCCACGCUGGUAGAGAACGUAGCGAACGUAUGCACGCACGCGAUAUGCGUGGCGCCAGCGUCACUGGGCGCGCGCGAGCUUCUCACGCGCUCGCUCAACGCGCCCCAAGCUAUCGCAGCCGUAGUAUAUGGACUCGCGCUGUGUCUUCUAUUCGCGGUGUCGACUACCUUCCACUCGGUGUGCUGCUGCAGAUCUGAUACCAAAAUGAAGCACUGGCUGCACCGCUGCGACCGCGCCAUGAUCUACAUCUUCAUUGCCAGCUCCUACUUCCCCUGGCUGACCGUCGGCACGCUCUCCUGCUGGAUGCUCCGAGAGCUGCGCUGGGCCAUCUGGCUGCUAGCCGUCCUCGGCAUCACGUACCAGCAGAUCUUCCACGAGCGCUACAAGAUGCUGGAGCUGUUGUUGUACCUAGUCAUGGGACUCGGGCCCGCUGCGAUCAUUGUCACGUCUAAUCACCACUUCCCAGCGAUGUCGGACCUGAAGCUCGGCGGCAUGCUGUACCUCAUCGGCGUUUUCUUCUUCAAGUCCGACGGCCGUAUCCCGUUCGCCCACGCCAUCUGGCACAUCUUCGUCGCCCUGGCAGCCACGGUACAUUACUUGGCGAUACUUCGCCACCUCUUCCCAGAACUUAAACAAUGAAGACUGCCCUAUUAACCUAUUGAAUCUCGGAACGGUUCCCUUUAGGCUAUUUUUGAACGCCGUGGAUUAAAGCGCCAAUCGACGAGGUACAUCCAACGUCAAAGAGAUAGUCCGACCAAGCUAACUCUGCAUGGCAUUUGCAAUGACAAAGGUUAAUGUCAUUAUUAACAUCAGUUUUCUAUGAAUAUAUUAUGUCGGUGCAAAGUGAACGGUUACGGCUAAAGUGGCCAAACAUCCUUAUUUAUGUAGUAACACACCAUGUGUUUCGAUAUAUUUUGUUACUUUGGCCGUCACUAUCUGUUUGAUGGUAACUGUUCAAGGUGGAUAACGCAUGGUUCGACUUAGCGGUGUUUUUGCCAAUCGUGCGAUGUAUUCGUACGGGUUACUACAAAAUUUUAUAUCACUUGCCUGCUUUAAAGAGUAUGAAUUAUCCGCAUUAUUGAAGAUUUUAGCUGAUAGGCAGACCACACACGGUAAAAGGUUGCGCAAUUAAUUUUGCCAUAGGUAUUAGUACAAAUUUAAAACACAUACGAGAGGUGUCUGCCUAAAUUAUUGAGCCCACCAGCUGACAAGAAAUAUCCGUGUUGAAAAUAUUUUGCUCUAUCCCAGAUCAUAUAAUUAAUUAAUUUAUAUUAUAACGAUAAUUAUAAAAAAAAAAUAUUGUAUAACUUUGCACGAGCUUUUCAGGUUGUGUACGUAGAAACUUCCAUUCAAUCUUCAUAAAUUUAUUUGCAAUUUAUAUUGCUCUAUUCGCGGACACAAUCGGCGUCGCUGAUUGGCGUAAAAGGCAAAUUAUUGUCGGGACAAGCCUCGUUGAUUGGCGUAUAAUGCCGCCAUUGAGAUCAUUGUGCAGCUAUCUGCGGCUUUAGAGCACUGACUGUAGCAACUCGUAAAUAUGUAUGCAAUUGUGGACCUUACUCCAUUGAAAUAAGGAAACAUGCGUAUACAUAUUUAUGACUGUGGAUUAUCCUCUCUAUUAGGUGUAGCUAUGCCAAUGUUCGCUAUGAGUUGUACGCCUUCCUGCCUUCACAAUACCUCUUGUACUAAGAGCAUUCAUUGGUGGUCCUUAUGAGUCACACGAACUCGUCUCCAAAAAAGCCGCUCCCAUACAAUCGUAGUAACGCUCACAAUUUAAAAAGACAUGAUGUAAUAAGAUGAAACUUGGCAUGAGCGUUAAAGUAACAUAUGUCUAAUCUAUGUCUGGUACCAGUUUAUGUUUAGAAAAAUUGUAAACCAGAGAAAAUAGAACACAACUUUUGUAUGUAAAAUAUCUACUCGCAAUGAGAGCGUAACUUGGAUUGUAUGGGUGCGGCCUGCGGCUAUAUAGAUUCGUGUGACUUGUUAGGGUUCCGUACCCAAAGGGUAAAAACGGUACCCUAUUACUAAGACUCCGCUGUCCGUCUGUCUGUCACCAGGCUGUAUCUCAUGAGCCGUGAUUGUUAGACAGAUGAUGUAUUUCUGUUGCCGCUAUAACAACAAAUACUAAAAAGUACGGAACCCUCGGUGGGCGAGUUCAACUCGCACUUGUCCGGUUUUUUGUUUUUGUUCACGAAUUGUCAGUUAACAAUAUGUACGAUGGUACUCGUCUGUCAGCUCGUUCCUAUUAUUAUUUGACCCCUAAAUUCGUAGCAACUAUACGUAAUUGAAGAUCUUAAUAAUACUAGUCCAUAUACCGCAUCCAUAUAUAAAUUAAACUUUCGUUGUUACACAGUACUUUCCAGUUUGAUACCUUAUUUUGAUAAAAAGUAUUUUUACAAGCAUUAUAUUUUUAGGCAGUUUUUGUAAUUUUGACCGAGAAACGCCAAAAGUCCCCUCAACGAUCUCCACCAGGACUAGUCGCCUGCGAUCUUUACCAAGGUGCCUAGCCUCCGUAGCCGUCUCUCUCUAACACUCUCGCUUCCAUAUUAGUGCGAAAGAGACAGUUGCGUUUCGUUCGCUACGGAGCGUAAACGAUUGGCACGUUGGCUAGGCACCCUGAUCGUCGUUCUUGCCGAGGCCAAACUGGUAUGACACUAACACAUAGAUGUGGUGAUACACGUGCAAGUUGCGGAAAAUUCCAAAAAGUUUACGAAAAUUUCAGAAAAAAAACGAAACCAUUUUGGAAAUGGCAAAUUUCGAUUCCCAUACAAAAAUAUGAGAAGUAUCCGAAAUUUUACCAUAUGGGAAAUUUGCACUUUUGGAAAGAUUCCGUCGGCACAUCAAUGCAGAUUGCAGAUGUAGGCGGCCGAUCGUAAUAUAUCCGCCCGAUCGUAAAGUUCCCGAGUAAUGUUUUGAUGGUAUUAGUCACAUUAAACCAAUAUAUAGGUAGGUUAUUAGAUUCGUUAGGUUGCUUCAGAUGCCCGAAGGGACGGAACGAGACAAUGAAUUUAAAUGAUCUGGCGGACAUUCCGAUCGGCCGCCGACACAGACCAAAUCAGCUGUAGGCGUAUGACUCAUAGUAUUAUCACCGUCAACCGACGGCACAUUAGGCCAAAUAACUAAAAGCGAUCGAAUCGUCUGUAUAUUUUGUUAAAUAUUGUUAAACAUGUACUAUUGUUGUAGUAUUCGUAGAAUCUCUGAAUCUCGAGACCAAUCCCUUUUUAUAGAUGUAUUGGGGUUUUUUAGAAACGUUUAUACACCUUAUACCUACGAUCCAAUUUUUCAGUCUUUUUAUACCUCAUUGUGAAUCCCUUAGGUUCCUUAUACAUGUGUAGGGUAGGUCUAGCUGGAUGUCUGUGUAUGUAUCAAAUAUGUUAAAUAUGUACCUAAACCUAAUCUUAAGGAGUUCAAAUGUUAUGUUAUUUUAAUUAUUUUAUUGCUUGUAUUUUUAAGGAUUGCUCAAUAUUUUAAAUGAUUAUGAGGUGUUUAUAGUUCCCAAAUGUCUUAACGUUUAAAAUAACGACUUGCCUAUGGUUUAAAAACUAGGGAGCGUUCGGAUAUUAGUUUUAAUUGUUUUAGAACAGCAUAUAAUAACCCCUUCAGUAAGAUUCGCGUGCAAGAGAAUACCAAACUCUUUGUUAAUAAGAUGUUGAUAAGAAUGGUUGGUCUUCGCGCGAAAUGGCAUCCUAAAAUCAAUCAAAACAAGCAUGAAAAUUUACAUAGAACAGUUUUCAUAUAAUUAUUUAGUGUAUUUGGAAUCUGAACGCUUCCAGGGCUGCUACAAUCUGGAAAACCGCGAUCUGUUAUUUGGUGUUGUAUUGAAAGAUUAACGUAUUCCAAAAUGUUUUGUGUAAUUUCUUCCUAGCUGCGUAAAACUUUUUAAUGUUAAAUUGGGUAAUUAUGUACUGAAAUUUGGGAAUUUUAUGCGAUAGAUUAGAAAAACUACUUUUCCCCUCACUAGCUCGGAAAGCCGUCUUUUAUCAUUUAAAACAAGCGGGAAAAACGCAUUUUAUCCACUAGUGGGGAAAGUAAUUUGACCUUGGAUGGAGCGUGUUUAAGUAGCUUGACAGAUAACAAAACGUAAAACGCUCAUAAUAAUGGUUCGUUCGAUAUUAAUUAUCAUUAAAUAAAUGGUUUGAGAAUCUAAUAAAAAAUACCAUUUAGCUUUAUUUAAUAAUUUUAAGUCAUAAACCUUAAAAUUCCAUAAUAAACGUUUGUUUAUUAAUAAUUAUGUUAAAUAUAAUUCUGAACGCACAAGUUAAGUCGAUGCAAUUUCAAAACGCAUCAUUGACAUUUCAUACGUCAGAAAUGUCAACAUUGUCAACAAAAAAUUUACUUAAAAACUUCUCACGUAAAAGUACAGAAUUUCCAGUUUUUUGUUAUAAUAUCGUAAAAAAAUGAGUGAUUCCAGUUGAUGAAGAUGAUCUAACGCCUGUGGAUGUUGCACUUUCCUCGCUAUAGUGAGGGGAAAAGUUUUGUGUUGCACACGGGUGCAAAUGUAUUUUACUUCUCGUGUGUUAAAACACUCGCGGGUAAAAUACAACUUUGCACCCUUGUAUAACACAAAACUUUUUCACAGUACGUAGGUAUGUUACAGACAGUGUUGGUAUGUUGAUUAACAUAAGUAUGCCCUCUAACACAAUGGGCUUCUCUACUGAGACAAGUGGAAAUCUUUUUCUUCCAAACAAUGGAUAAUAUUUAAUCUUUGACCUAAUAGCUUGUCCAUUUAUGUUGUGGAGUAGAAGCGAGCAUACGCAACUCACAAGUCAGGGGUAGAAAAACUUGCUGCUAAAGAAUUUACGUAAUAGAUACUAGGCAAUUUGUGUUUGUAUCCCAUAAAGCAGGGGUCGGCAACAGGCGGCCCGCGAACCUCUCCUUGCGGCCCGUGAGCCUCCCUGUGGCUAUUUUGUAUUUAAUUUUGACAAACGGCAAUACCUGAUAAAGUCAUAAAUAUUAGCAAAGUGCGGCCCGCGUCAAUUUCAUUAACUGCUAUGUGGCCCUUGGCUGCUAAAAGGUUGCCGACCCCUGCACUAAAGUACCUAACUAUAUUAGUUACAAAAUAGUUUAAUUGCGCAGCAUACUACCAAGUAAGGAAAUAAUGUUUUCGUUUGUUUUUUUUUUAUUGUUUUACUAUAAUUAACGACAGUCACGCGUUUUCCUGUGCAAGUAAAACCUUUUGAUUUAGUUAAACAGUAAAUAAUGCAAUUAAUAAACAGUCCGUCACUAACAUACAAUUAAAAUAGAGCGAUCUCAUAUUAACAUGUGUUCCCUUAACAAACCUAAACACUCAAUUACAGCGAUGUUUACUCAACUAAAUGGAAACAUGGGAUACGAUGAAAUCAUGUCACAUUAUAUUUCAAUACGUACCGUCAACAGGGGUGAGUAGGGACAAAACUUAGUGAUUUACCUAUUUCUUAAAAAAUACCUACACAAAUUGUAUCAUGCAAAACCUACGAUUAUUUUCAAUCGAAUAAUACAAUUGGUGUGGGUAUUGUUUAAGAAAUUAACAAGUAAAUCACAUUUUAAGUUUUGUCCCUAUUCACCCCAACCAUCCCUAUUCACCCCGGUUGACGGUACCUAUAUGUUUUGAUGUCAUUAAUUUACUGGAGUGACGGUUCUUACUUGCUACUGAUAAUAAAUUAAAAAAUCGACGCAAAAUUUCUAACGAUUUAAUAGCGGCAAUUCAUUUCGUUUGAGUUUGCGUAGUGUGGUACGUCACUUUCGUAAGUUUUCUAACACAAUGCAUUAUUGUUAAAGAAAUAAAUAAAAUAAAUGAAUGAAUGCCAUAAUAUUAAGGAAAGAUCCCGCUACCUGCAAACAUGCGAUCGUGGAGAGGUGUAAAACAAAAUGUUUCAUUUGGCUGAGUGUACAUCAAGAUAUAAUGUCAACAGUAAUAUCUAGUCAUAUUAUUAGCUGCAAUAAAUCGCAAAUGGAUUUAAACUGUGAUUUACUUGUAUGAAAUUUAUUUUGUAAUACAGGCAUAUUUUUAUUUUAUUUUCAUGUUACUUUACGUUAGAGUAAUUGGUAAUGUAAUGCAUGAAAAUGGCAAUUUUGAUAAAUCCGGCAGAGUAAUUUAUACCUAAAGUUAAAUUAUAAGUUUAGUGCGAUCAGCAUUAGAAGUGUUAGGAAAUAUUUACUCGAAUGUCUACCAAAGUGCGAUAGAGAUGUAAAUAAUACUAUAAUCAUAUUGAUUUCAAUUUACGUACGCUAUUGUUUGUUUUGGGCGAAAUGUCCCAGAAUUCUGUAUAACCGACGGCUAUAAUGUAUCUAUGCAUGGUGUUCCGGACAUUUAGUCCUUUUCGAUAGUUCUUUAAUAGUUCGAUGAAAUGUAAGGGGGAUGCUGUCCCUGCCCGCAGUGCGUAACUAGGGGAGGGCAGAUGGGGCAAAUGCCCCGGGCGCCAUCCAAGGCGGGGGCGCCAAAAUGGGCAAAAGGCAGCAGCAGGGAAACUUUUGUCAGUCGUCAGGGGCCGCAAAUUUGGUGACUGCCCCGGGCGCCAUAUCAUGGAACGCACACAGGGGCACAACAGGAUGAUAAAAUUAAUAAAACUAUUGAGAGUUAAUGUAUUUAUUUCUGCCAAUGCCUACAGAAAAUGUAGGUUAUUAGGGUCGUUGGAAUUCGAAAUUGUUAUGGAUUGUUAUAGGUACCGAGUGCAUUGUUAACAUAUUGUUAAUAAUCAGUCGACAUGUCUAAUAGGUACUAAUUGGAAUGUUAAUGCUAUUUAUAUUUUAUAUAAGUUUGCUAAAUUUAAAAAUAUAUAUUGCCGGCUAUUCAAUCAAGGUUGUAACAGGGUAAUUUGGUAUUAUAAUACGAAUAACUAUUAGAAGCACAAAAUUGGAUUUAAAAAAAAAGUUGAUUAUUGUACCACAUAUUGGUAUCGGUUUUACGGAGUCAAAUGUCCUAAAUUUAGUCGUGAAUUUAAUUAUUAAGUAGCAAUUUUUCAUUAUAUUAGAAAUUCUUCGUAAUUCUGUAGUGGUAGUGGGUAAAAUAAUAUGAAUUCCCUAGUUACAUCGAUCGUGAUUCGUGAUUAGAA